rnacentral:rRNA from 1 species
AGAAUCAACGCUGGCGGCGUGCCUAACACAUGCAAGUCGCACGAGAAAGGGGCUUCGGCUCUGAGUAAAGUGGCGCACGGGUGAGUAACACGUGAAUAAUCUACCUCCGAGUGGGGAAUAACUGAGAGAAAUCUUAGCUAAUACCGCAUAACACUUACGAGUCAAAGCAGCAAUGCGCUUGGAGAGGAGUUCGCGGCCGAUUAGUUAGUUGGCGGGGUAAUGGCCCACCAAGACGAUGAUCGGUAUCCGGCCUGAGAGGGCGCACGGACACACUGGAACUGAAACACGGUCCAGACUCCUACGGGAGGCAGCAGUGGGGGAAUUUUGCGCAAUGGGGGAAACCCUGACGCAGCAACGCCGCGUGGAGGAUGAAAUAUCUUGGUAUGUAAACUCCUUUCGAUGGGGAAGAUAAUGACGGUACCCAUAGAAGAAGCCCGGCUAACUUCGCGCCAGCAGCCGC